AUUACUUUAGUUUUAGGAUAUAUGUUCAUCACGAGCGCCAUCAAACAACGCAUUUCUCAAUUCAAAGUUUUGCCCGUUGUUGUUGAGUCGGCUUUUUCAGUGAACAAACCUACCUGAUUGCAGCCAUUUCCAUUGACCACCAUGGAGCGAGUUGAACCUGCAGAGAAUACCGGACCAAGGUAGUGCACGCAUUGGCGGACACAAGACCAUGCAUUGGAGGGACAAACGAGCAAAAUAUUGAAGCUUGAACUUCAUGAGGUCAAAAUGUUCAAGUUAAUGGAGUUAACAGGGGAAAAAACAAGAAGUGAAAUUGAUGGCAUUUCUUACAUGUACUGUUAGCUAGGUUAACCCCUGCUUGCACCAUCUCUCGGUACGACUUGAUUGCUGCUAUCACCAUAAAUAGAGUUCAUGGGAUGGUUAAAGUGAUGGCGAGCCAUGGCACUAAGAUUUGAAGAGGAAACAAAACAGCACCAGCUCUGAUGAGUGGAACAAACCUUUUAAGGAUGGAGAGGUAGGGCUCUUUGCUCUGAACUUCUGCAAUCCAACCCAUAGCAAAGAGGCUUAGGAAUAAAACGCUCUCAUAGUGGCGUCAUGCUUAUUUGAAACUGCAGGCGCAACACAAGUACCCAAUGCAGCAAGAAGAAAAAAUAUGGCAACGUAGACACGUUUGUUGUCUGAACUAUAAUAAAACGAAGAUAAGUUGAAUUAGCAAGAAUUCAUAGAAAUUUGAUAAAAGGAUUGUAUGGGAACAAUGUUAUUGUUCUUAUAUAUGUGCUUCUA